UACGUAGGGGGCAAGCGUUGUCCGGAUUUAUUGGGCGUAAAGAGCGUGUAGGCGGCCAGGUAGGUCGGUUGUGAAAACUGGAGGCUCAACCUCCAGACGUCGACCGAAACCAUCUGGCUAGAGUCCGGAAGAGGAGAGUGGAAUUCCUGGUGUAGCGGUGAAAUGCGCAGAUAUCAGGAAGAACACCCGUGGCGAAGGCGGCGACCUGGGUCGAGACUGACGCUGAGGCGCGAAAGCGUGGGGAGCAAACAGG
rnacentral:rRNA from 1 species